GCCAGGCAUGGUGGUGCAUGCCUGUAAUCCCAGUUACUCGGGAGGCUGAGGCAGGAGAAUCACUUGAACCUGGGAGGUGGAGGUUGUAGUGAGCUGAGAUUGCAGCACUGUACUCCAGCCUGAGUGACAGAGUGAGACCCUGUCUCAA
ensembl:misc_RNA Metazoa_SRP Metazoan signal recognition particle RNA